rnacentral:rRNA from 1 species
UACGUAGGGUGCAAGCGUUGUCCGGAAUUAUUGGGCGUAAAGAGCUCGUAGGCGGUCUGUUGCGUCGGCUGUGAAAACCCGGGGCUCAACCCCGGGCCUGCAGCCGAUACGGGCAGACUAGAGUUCGGCAGGGGAGACUGGAAUUCCUGGUGUAGCGGUGAAAUGCGCAGAUAUCAGGAGGAACACCGAUUGCGAAGGCAGCUCACUAAGCUGUAACUGACACUGAGGCACGAAAGUGUGGGUAGCAAACAGG